CCUACGGGAGGCAGCAGUAAGGAAUAUUGGUCAAUGGAGGCAACUCUGAACCAGCCAUGCCGCGUGCAGGAAGACAGCCCUAUGGGUCGUAAACUGCUUUUAUACGGGAAUAAACUUUGAUUCGUGAAUCAAGCUGAAUGUACCGUAAGAAUAAGGAUCGGCUAACUCCGUGCCAGCAGCCGCGGUAAUACGGAGGAUCCAAGCGUUAUCCGGAUUUAUUGGGUUUAAAGGGAGCGUAGGCGGCCUAUUAAGUCAGGGGUGAAAGACGGUGGCUCAACCAUCGCAGUGCCUUUGAUACUGAUGGGCUUGAAUAUAGUUGAGGUAGGCGGAAUGUGACAAGUAGCGGUGAAAUGCAUAGAUAUGUCACAGAACACCGAUUGCGAAGGCAGCUUACUAAGCUAUGAUUGACGCUGAGGCUCGAAAGCGUGGGGAUCAAACAGGAUUAGAUACCCUGGUAGUCCACGCCCUAAACGAUGAUAACUCGAUGUUGGCGAUAUACAGUCAGCGUCCAAGCGAAAGCGUUAAGUUAUCCACCUGGGGAGUACGCCCGCGAGGGUGAACGUCAAAGUGAUUGACGGNGNGAGAGNGCGACGGACGACGACGGAGGGAGGAGG
rnacentral:rRNA from 1 species